rnacentral:rRNA from 1 species
CGUUCUAACGAUAGCACGUAGAAAGCACCACUUCCCAAUGGGUCACUGAAAUUAAGCAACGUUGCGCGUGGUUAGUACCCGGGUGGGUGACCAUCAGGGAAACCAAUUUUUUAGGUAGU